rnacentral:pre_miRNA from 1 species
UCCGUGCUGAGAUUUCGUCACACACCAGACCACAAGGGCUAAUGAGACUUCCAAGA